rnacentral:rRNA from 1 species
AACGAACGCUGGCGGCAUGCCUAACACAUGCAAGUCGAACGGGAUCCUAGCUUGCUAGGUGAGAGUGGCGGACGGGUGAGUAACACGUGGGAAUCUGCCUUUUGGUUCGGGAUAACCGCGGGAAACUGCGGCUAAUACCGAAUGCCCUCGAGAGAGGAAAGAUUUAUCGCCAGAAGAGGAGCCCGCGUCCGAUUAGGUAGUUGGUGGGGUAAAGGCCUACCAAGCCGACGAUCGGUAGCUGGUCUGAGAGGACGAUCAGCCACACUGGGACUGAGAUACGGCCCAGACUCCUACGGGAGGCAGCAGUGGGAAUAUUGGACAAUGGGGGCAACCCUGAUCCAGCAAUGCCGCGUGAGUGAUGAAGGCCUUAGGGUUGUAAAGCUCUUUUGCCAGGGAAGAUGAUGACUGUACCUGGAGAAUAAGCCCCGGCCAACUUCGUGCCAGCAGCCGCGGUAAU